AACUAUUGGAAGGAAAAGAACUCCCAGGUGUCACUGCGCUAUCUGAUAUUUGACACUUACUUUUAAUUCUUUACAAAUAAAAUAAAAAAAAAAAAAA
rnacentral:ribozyme from 1 species